rnacentral:rRNA from 1 species
UACGUAGGGUGCAAGCGUUGUCCGGAAUUAUUGGGCGUAAAGAGCUCGUAGGCGGUGUGUCGCGUCGGCCGUGAAAACCUGCAGCUUAACUGUGGGCUUGCGGUCGAUACGGGCAUCACUGGAGUUCGGCAGGGGAGACUGGAAUUCCGGGUGUAGCGGUGGAAUGCGUAGAGAUCCGGAAGAACACCGGUGGCGAAGGCGGUCUGCUGGGGUAAUGCUGACACUGAUGCGCGACAGCGUGGGGAGCAAACAGG